AAAAUAUCCAGCCACCAUUCUCAGGAUGACAAUGUGCCACAGAAACGACUGAAAUGAGAUUCUUGCCAGGGGCCGAAAAACUGGAAGAGUGCAGAAGUCAUAGGCCACUCCUGUCGGAGAUUCCACAUGAGAAACACGAAUCCCGCGCAAAUCAGCAGCCACAAGUUCUUGUGCAGGCCCGCAUAUAAGGCCAACCAAAGGGAUGGCUUUUCAAAGUCCUGGCGAAUGAAGAUGUAGCCGGAGAAAAGGACUCCCAAUGUAGCCAGGACAAGCAGCCACGUUGCCAGUUCGUACUUGAGUAGGCCCCGGAGCAUCACUUUCCUUGUACGCUGUUCGAGCAUGUGGUUGGUCACAAAGAACACGUUCUUCCACCAAUUGGUGCGGCAGAAAACCCUCUCGGCCUCGGUAACAUGCCGCCAGAAGGGUCCGUUUUGGAUGCGCACCAGGAGAGUUCCAUUAAACAGGAUGAGGGCGAGAAGCGAAGGCAGGAGUCUGAAGUAUCUGUUGAAAAACACACGGAAGUACACGGAAAUGCAAUCGAUGGUGCCAGUCGUGGGUUGAAUCAUUUGGCGUUCGGUGAACUUCACGUAGAGCAGAAAGCCACUCAUCACGAAAAAUAUCUGGAUGAACAGGCUGCCGUUUUGGAAAAUCGUGGUCUCGAACCUGUAGAGGAAUUGCUCGUAGUACUCAGGGUUUUCUAUCGGUACCGUCAUGAAGACCAUUAGCGUGUGGCCUAGGAUAACCACAAAUACCCCAAUCACUCGAAAUCCGUCGAAGAAGCUUACAUCUCGCGCGAAAUCCGAGUCAUGUUGUUGAGUCAGUCGAUAAUAGUUUCGAAACACAGAAAAGGAGAUGUAAGGAUACACUUACGACGGCCGUUCAGUGACUCCCGAUAAAAGUUUUCAGUUUGCUGAGGGUUUUUCUUGCUUAGCCGAUAGUCGUGGAAUGAGGAACACAAAGUUAUAAGCAGUAUACCGAUCAUAAGACCGUAAAACGUGAGAUCAAGUCCAUCUGAGGAAAUCCACUUUAUAGGUUUUAAAUUCUUUCCCUUUUAUUAUUGAACUUUUUCGUAUCUAACAUUUUUACUUUAACUCUACUUACCUAGCUCCAAGUGCUCAUCGGCUGGCACACAAUACUCGAUAAGGCUGCGAACACUGAGGGAGAACUUCUCACCGAACUCAAGAUUGAGGCAGCUUUUGACCAACUCCUCGUGGAGGAGGCGCUCUGCUGCAUCCGACUUUCGCUGGUGAACCCUCGCGUAGUAAGAGCGGAGUUCCUUGUCCAGGAUAUCUUCUUCCCCGGUAUCGUUCGCAUCAGAAAAGCCAUUUAAACUGUGCUGGCAAGUCUCCAGGCACACUCCCCUAAAGACGCGAUCAUGGCGAAAUCGGUGCUUAGAGUCCAGCGAAACUCCUUCGAUUUGGUGCCACAAAGCAGAGCUGGCAUUGGGUAAAAUCUCCACAUAUACCAGGCAGUAUCUACCAGCGGGCUUAUCCAGGCAGAGAUCGUAGUCGUGCAGAUAAUGGAGGGGAGGCAUCUGCCUGUAGAGUGUCACUGCACAGGCAGCUCUCGCUAAAUGAUCUCUUCGAAAUGGAGUUCCAGCUACUUACAAUCAAAGGAGCCGGAUGAAAAGUUCCCUUGUACCAACGAGAGCAUCGUUAGAGGAACACAAAUUUCCAGCCACAGUUUCAUAUUCCGAGUGUCUGGCCUAGCACUUGAAGAUCAACUAUUGGAAAUCUUUGCUCGAUUUGCCAUACUAAUUCAGAGAUAGCGUGCUAAGCCGUCAUGCCUGGGUGCGCUCCCCUAAGAUUGCUUAACCCAAGUGUCUACCAGUAAAGAUCGGCAUAUCAAUAUGGGACUUUACGUAGAAGACGAAAGGAUGGUUAACAACGAAGUGUUUGCGCCUAAAGCCCGCCACGGGCAUCACCCGGA